rnacentral:rRNA from 1 species
GGGGAAUAUUGGACAAUGGGCGAAAGCCUGAUCCAGCAAUGCCGCGUGAGUGAUGAAGGCCUUAGGGUUGUAAAGCUCUUUUACCAGGGAUGAUAAUGACAGUACCUGGAGAAUAAGCUCCGGCUAACUCCGUGCCAGCAGCCGCGGUAAUACGGAGGGAGCUAGCGUUGUUCGGAAUCACUGGGCGUAAAGCGCGCGUAGGCGGUUACUCAAGUCAGAGGUGAAAGCCCGGGGCUCAACCCCGGAACUGCCUUUGAAACUAGGUAACUAGAAUCUUGGAGAGGCGAGUGGAAUUCCGAGUGUAGAGGUGAAAUUCGUAGAUAUUCGGAAGAACACCAGUGGCGAAGGCGACUCGCUGGACAAGUAUUGACGCUGAGGUGCGAAAGCGUGGGGAGCAAAC